UGUUCCCAUUGUUUUUAAGGGUCCUAAUGGCGCUGCUGCAGGAGUUGGUGCCCAACAUUUUUAGUGUUAUGCAUCGUGGUAUGGCUCCUGUCCUGGGUUGAAGGUUUUGUUUGAGACUGUCUCCAUACUUAGCCGAGGAUGCUCGCAGAUUGGUAAAGGCAGCCAUUAGGGAUCUCGAUCCAGUUAUUUUUCUAGACAAUGAAAUACCAUCCUAAAUGUACCUAUUGAUGAAAAGGCAGAAUGACAAGAUGAGACGACAUUGAUUGCUUUCGGAUUGCCAAGAUUGAAAGAGAAUGGUACGAUGUGACGAUAAAUGCGUUCUCAAAGAUGGUAGAAUCUUUUCUCAAGGUUAGUGAGCAAUUUUUCUUUCCUUUCUAUGAACAUGUAUUGUGGUCAGGAUGUCUUUUUGCUUAAAUUCAGCACUUUUUAUAUGUUGCAUCAUGUAGCCAUUUAUGAGGGAGAGGGAGACCGAAAAUGACUUGGUUGGAAAAAGUUAGGAACGAUAUGAGGUAUAUGGAUUUGCAUGUGAGGAUAAGGCAUUGGAUUGUAAGGGAUGGAGGAGGAGGAGGAUCUUUGUUGAUGAUAACACGGAAUAAUCAAAUUUGGUUCAUGUAGUCGACCCCACUUAUGGGAUUAAGGAUUUGAUUGAUUGAUUGAUUGAUUGAUUUAUAUGUUGCAUCAUGCUGAUGGAGAUUCUUAAUUAGCACCUAUUGCACAGAGCUUAUAAUUUUUUAAAAUGUGUCUUGUUUAUCAUCUAAAAUGUUUAUUUCUGACCCUUAACUAACAUCCAGGCUACAAAGAUACUAGAAAAGGAAGGAAUUAGUGCUGAGGUAAAAAUUCUUAUCACAUGAUCUUGAUUGGACAUGCCAUUAAGUGACAAACAGUAUAGCAACCAAUAAUUGCGUAAGGAAAACAAACAGAUUGAUAAUUGUUGAAGAAGGGUUCCCACAACAUGGUGUCAUGGUUAAUAUGAGUUCGUUUGGGGUGUUGUGAGUUUAGUUAUAAUCCUAUAAUCUUUUAUUUGCACUUGCAUUUAUUUGUCAUAGAUUUUGGCUUAUGAGUUGGGUAUAUGGUUAUGUACAUUCUAUGAAUUCUCAGACUAUUUGGAAUAUAAUGGUUCUAAUUCAUUUCUGAUGACAUUUGGACACUAGUGGAAAAAACUUCAUUCAUAACGCCUCAUUUGUAACGGGCAUAAUUAAAUUCGUUACGAAAAGAUUAUUCACAACAGGCAAUUUAUAUGACCGAUACAAAUAACAACUAUUUGUAACGGGUAAAAUAAUGCCUGUUACGAAUAAUCAUUUAAUUGUAACGGACAAUAUAUUACCCGAUAAAAAGAGACUUGUGAUGGGGCGGAAUUCGCUGAAAGGAGUAAGCCCGUUACAUUAGACUAUUAGGUUUUCAAAACAUAGCCGUCAAACUUCCACUUUCUCUCUCAUUUCACUUUUCUCUAUGUCUUGCUCUCUCUAUCUCUCCUCACUCAAUCUCCUCCCUCCGUUUCUACUAAGGAAUUCAAGCGGUUAUCUUCUAUUUUGUGCGAUUGGGUUAGAGAUUCGAAACAAAGAGAAGAAUUUCUUAUUUCUUUCUCUGAGGUAUGAUAUCUUUAAUUAUCUUUUUGAAUUUUAAUGUUUUUAGCUUACAUUUGGGAUUUUGUGAAGUUUUUUUUAAUGAAUUUUGUUGGAUCUUGAAGAUCUGAGUUGUUUUGAUGAAUUCUGAGGACUGGAUUAGUGUUGAUUGGGAUAAUGAAGAUGGUAAAAAUUAUGGUUCUAUUAAUGGAGUUCGAUAAUUUCAAGGCAAAUAGGAGAGAUACGCUUCUUCUUCAACCUCUCAUUAUGCUGGGAAUAUUCUUUUUUUUUUUAAUUGGGGCUAAAUGUAUUUGUAAUGGGCAGUUGAAAUGCCUGUUACAAAUAACCCGUUAUUUGUGCAGAAGGAACUGUCCGUUAGAAAUAAUGGGUCAUUUGUAACGGGCAUUUCAAUUGCCCGUUACAAAUAACGGGUUAUUUGUAACGGGCGUUUUACCUGCCCGUUACAAAUAACAUUGUCUAUCCGUAACGGCCGCAUACGUAACGCCCGCUGCCCGUUACGGAUAGGCUGUUUUUGCCCGUUACGGAUAGCUGUUUUUCUACUAGUGGGACCUCGCUACUCCAAUUUUGAUUUCUAUUUACAUGCAAUAUCGUUAUUAGUUCAUUACUGAGGAGUGGGUUGAUUAUCUUCUUGGAAUUACUCACUUAAAUUUACUUUUUGUUCGUAAUUCUCUUGCACUUUGUAAUUAGAACUGGAGAAUGAGGUCAUUAUACUUUGUAAUUAGAACUGGAGAAUGAGGAGUGGGUUAAUAUAUCGGUCAUGAUAUUAUGAUUGAUACAAGAACAAGUCAUUAUACUUAUUGUGCCUAAUUAGUGUUUCAAACAAUUUUUGGCGCUAAUGUGAUUCAAUGCUCGCUUAUGUUAUGACUAUGUUGCUCGAUUAUUCAAGUCAUGAUCUCAAAAUUUUUUAGGGGAGGCAUCAAACUUAUGCAUCUUGGGGAGGUAGUUAUACUUCCGCGUACAAAAAAAGGAAAAAAAAAAAAAAAAAAAAAAAACUCUUUUUACACUAGUUUCACAAGAGUGCAUCAUAUGACCUUAUGGGGCUAGGAUAGACGGUUUUUGUCUUCUCCCUUUAAGACAUUUAAGUGAAUUAACAUCCCUUAAACUUCUUUAACAAGUUGCAACUUGCUCUAUUUUGCAAGUAGUAUUAUCUUGUCUAACUUCAAUACAACAAACGUAACACAAAUUCAAAUGUCAAUAAAUAAUUAAAUAAAUGCGAAUGGACAAACACACAUCCUAUUAUAAUUAAGAACAUUAAUUGUAAUAAGAAAUAUUCAAAAUUAAUUGGCCAAAUUGGGGGGGAGGGGCAUAUCGCGGGUGCUCCCACAACUAGUCUCUUAAAUUUCAAGUGAAAUUAGUGUAACAAAUGUUUUUUUUUUUAGACGUUUAGUACCAUAAUGUAACAAAUAUAAUCAUUGUGUAUUGUUUGUCAUAAAAUUUAUUACCAUCCUUCCACCAUUUUAAUCUAACAUAAUAAAUUAUUGUAUCUUAAUUCUUAUAAAGUAUCUUUCCUAAAUCUGCACUGGACAAGAGUAAUGCCCAAUCAACAUCAUUAUUUUUGUGUAAUUAUAUUUAUGAUUUUUGAUAGUUUAGAUUGAAACAUCCUGAAAUAAUAAUAAUAAUAAUAAUAAUAAUAAUAAUAAAAAAUAAAAAAAAAAAAAAACCAUGU